UAACGGUAACAGGAUGUGCUUGCACAUCGCUGACGAGUGGCGGACGGGUGAGUAAUGCUUAGGGAUCUGCCUCUGUGUGGGGGAUAACUAUUGGAAACGAUAGCUAAUACCGCAUAAUGUUUACGGACCAAAGGGGGCGUUUGCUCCCGCGCAGAGAGGAACCUAAGUGAGAUUAGCUAGUUGGUAAGGUAAUGGCUUACCAAGGGCGACGAUCUCUAGCUGUUCUGAGAGGAAGAUCAGCCACACUGGGACUGAGACACGGCCAGACUCCUACGGGAGGCAGCAGUGGGGAAUAUUGCACAAUGGGGGGAACCCUGAUGCAGCCAUGCCGCGUGUGUGAAGAGGGCCUUCGGGUUGUAAAGCACUUUCAGUUGUGAGGAAAGGUUAGUAGUUAAUACCUGCUAGCUGUGACGUUAGCAACAGAAGAAGCACCGGCUAACUCCGUGCCAGCAGCCGCGGUAAUACGGAGGGUGCGAGCGUUAAUCGGAAUUACUGGGCGUAAAGCGCACGCAGGCGGUUUGUUAAGCUAGAUG
rnacentral:rRNA from 1 species